AACGAACGCUGGCGGCAGGCUUAACACAUGCAAGUCGAGCGCCCCGCAAGGGGAGCGGCAGACGGGUGAGUAACGCGUGGGAAUCUACCCAUCUCUACGGAAUAACGCAUGGAAACGUGUGCUAAUACCGUAUACGUCCGUCGGGAGAAAGGUUUAUCGGAGAUGGAUGAGCCCGCGUUGGAUUAGCUAGUUGGUGGGGUAAAGGCCUACCAAGGCGACGAUCCAUAGCUGGUCUGAGAGGAUGAUCAGCCACACUGGGACUGAGACACGGCCCAGACUCCUACGGGAGGCAGCAGUGGGGAAUAUUGGACAAUGGGCGCAAGCCUGAUCCAGCCAUGCCGCGUGAGUGAUGAAGGCCCUAGGGUUGUAAAGCUCUUUCACCGGUGAAGAUAAUGACGGUAACCGGAGAAGAAGCCCCGGCUAACUUCGUGCCAGCCGCCGCCGUAAAAC
rnacentral:rRNA from 1 species